UACGUAGGGUGCGAGCGUUGUUCGGAUUCAUUGGGCGUAAAGGGUGUGUAGGUGGCGCCGUAAGUCGGGUGUGAAAUUUCGAGGCUUAACCUCGAAACUGCAUUCGAUACUGCGGUGCUUGAGGACUGGAGAGGAGACUGGAAUUCAUGGUGUAGCAGUGAAAUGCGUAGAGAUCAUGAGGAAGACCAGUGGCGAAGGCGGGUCUCUGGACAGUUCCUGACACUGAGACACGAAGGCCAGGGGAGCAAACGGG
rnacentral:rRNA from 1 species